rnacentral:rRNA from 1 species
CCCUUAGAUGUUCUGGGCCGCACGCGCGCUACACUGACGAUGGCAACGAGUUUUUCCUUCGCCGAAAGGUGUGGGUAAUCUUUUGAAACAUCGUCGUGCUGGGGAUAGAUCAUUGCAAUUUUUGAUCUUGAACGAGGAAUUCCUAGUAAGCGCGAGUCAUCAGCUCGCGUUGAUUACGUCCCUGCCCUUUGUACACACCGCCCGUCGCUACUACCGAUUGAAUGGUUUAGUGAGGACUCCUGAUUGGCGCCGCCGCCCCGGCAACGGAGCAGCGGACUGCCGAAAAGUUGUUCAAACUUGAUCAUUUAGAGGUAGUAAAAGUCGUAACA